UUAGCGGCGGACGGGUGAGUAACACGUGGGUAACCUGCCUGUAAGACUGGGAUAACUCCGGGAAACCGGGGCUAAUACCGGAUGCUUGAUUGAACCGCAUGGUUCAAUUAUAAAAGGUGGCUUUUAGCUACCACUUACAGAUGGACCCGCGGCGCAUUAGCUAGUUGGUGAGGUAACGGCUCACCAAGGCAACGAUGCGUAGCCGACCUGAGAGGGUGAUCGGCCACACUGGGACUGAGACACGGCCCAGACUCCUACGGGAGGCAGCAGUAGGGAAUCUUCCGCAAUGGACGAAAGUCUGACGGAGCAACGCCGCGUGAGUGAUGAAGGUUUUCGGAUCGUAAAACUCUGUUGUUAGGGAAGAACAAGUACCGUUCGAAUAGGGCGGUACCUUGACGGUACCUAACCAGAAAGCCACGGCUAACUACGUGCCAGCAGCCGCGGUAAUACGUAGGUGGCAAGCGUUGUCCGGAAUUAUUGGGCGUAAAGCGCGCGCAGGCGGUUUCUUAAGUCUGAUGUGAAAGCCCCCGGCUCAACCGGGGAGGGUCAUUGGAAACUGGGGAACUUGAGUGCAGAAGAGGAGAGUGGAAUUCCACGUGUAGCGGUGAAAUGCGUAGAGAUGUGGAGGAACACCAGUGGCGAAGGCGACUCUCUGGUCUGUAACUGACGCUGAGGCGCGAAAGCGUGGGGAGCGAACAGGAUUAGAUACCCUGGUAGUCCACGCCGUAAAC
rnacentral:rRNA from 1 species